rnacentral:rRNA from 1 species
UUUGACGCUUCGGAUAUUGGGCGUAAGAGCUCGUAGGCGGUUUGUCGCGUCUGCCGUGAAAGUCCGGGGCUCAACUCCGGAUCUGCGGUGGGUACGGGCAGACUAGAGUGAUGUAGGGGAGACUGGAAUUCCUGGUGUAGCGGUGAAAUGCGCAGAUAUCAGGAGGAACACCGAUGGCGAAGGCAGGUCUCUGGGCAUUAACUGACGCUGAGGAGCGAAAGCAUGGGGAGCGAACAGGAUUAGAUACCCUGGUAGUCCAUGCCGUAAACGUUGGGCACUAGGUGUGGGGGACAUUCCACGUUUUCCGCGCCGUAGCUAACGCAUUAAGUGCCCCGCCUGGGGAGUACGGCCGCAAGGCUAAAACUCAAAGGAAUUGACGGGGGCCCGCACAAGCGGCGGAGCAUGCGGAUUAAUUCGAUGCAACGCGAAGAACCUUACCAAGGCUUGACAUGAACCGGAAAGACCUGGAAACAGGUCCCCCACUUGUGGUCGGUUUACAGGUGGUGCAUGGUUGUCGUCAGCUCGUGUCGUGAGAUGUUGGGUUAAGUCCCGCAACGAGCGCAACCCUCGUUCCAUGUUGCCAGCGCGUAAUGGCGGGGACUCAUGGGAGACUGCCGGGGUCAACUCGGAGGAAGGUGGGGACGACGUCAAAUCAUCAUGCCCCUUAUGUCUUGGGCUUCACGCAUGCUACAAUGGCCGGUACAAAGGGUUGCGAUACUGUGAGGUGGAGCUAAUCCCAAAAAGCCGGUCUCAGUUCGGAUUGGGGUCUGCAACUCGACCCCAUGAAGUCGGAGUCGCUAGUAAUCGCAGAUCAGCAACGCUGCGGUGAAUACGUUCCCGGGCCCUUGUACACACCGCCCGUCAAGUCACGAAAAGUUGGUAACACCCGAAGCCGGUGGCCUAAACCCCUUGUGGGGAGGGAGCUGUCGAAGGUGGGACUGGCGAUGGGACUAAGUCGUAACAGGUAACCAG